AAGUCGUAACAAGGUUUCCGUAGGUGAACCUGCGGAAGGAUCAUUAACACGUAUCCAACGUUAAACAACCCUGUGAACUUUCAACGCUCUUGUAACCAGGCGGAACAGCAAUCCCGGUAAAUCAGUGGGCGGAAAAGUUUUGAUUCGGGACCUCUGUCCAAAAGUUACAAUCGAGCUAGGAGCAGUGGCAUGGUUUCCCUAAGCAGUGCAGAAGGAUCCACUGAGUAAGGAUAACGCAUACAGGGCUAUAUGCCCCUUCAUUCACACCUUGCUCUCUCAUGCCCGCCGGAAACGCCGGGCACAAAAACCGAACAACUGUUAACAAUGGAUAUCUUGGUUCUCA
rnacentral:misc_RNA from 1 species